UGAGGAACAUGACCUUCGGCGGGGGAGUAGCCGGCCCAACGGCCGGGUAAUACCGCGUACGACCACAUGGGGACGAUCCCUGAGUGGUGAAAGCAGCAAUGCGCCGAUGGAGUGCCUCGCGGCCUAUCAGCUAGUUGGUGAGGUAACGGCUCACCAAGGCAACGAUGCGUAGCCGACCUGAGAGGGUGAUCGGCCACAUUGGAACUGAGACACGGUCCAGACUCCCUAGGGACGG
rnacentral:rRNA from 1 species